rnacentral:rRNA from 1 species
AUGUGCGCGGAGGUGACGACAGGAGGGCGUCGGCCUUUUCCAACUCGAGGAGGAGGAGGAGGGUGGUAUGGAUCUCUCCUCCCCUGUCGUCAUCACGAGAGGAGAGGGAGAACGGCCGGCUAUGGCGGCGGUCAGAUCCACGCUGGGAACAGGAGACUGAUGCCAACGCCAUGGAGCUACUCUGCUGUUCGUCAAGGUCCGACCCCAGGGAGUGCCGACGCUCUUCCUCUUUCUCAUCUUCGAUUUCAUCUUCUUGCUCUUCUUCGAUUUGAUUUACGUACUUGCUCUUUCUCGUCUUCGAUUUGA